AGCACAGCACAGAGGGCCAGAGCCAGUGGUGUGGUGCUUCUAGACUCAGUUGGGUGCCAGCCCUAGCUCUAGCAUGCCCUGGUUGUGUGACUGGGGACCAAUUCCUAUUUUUCCUUGGGCCUCAGUUUCCUCAGAAAUGCAGUGGGGAGGACAUUGCCCUACCCUUCAAGGACAUGCCUCGGUUCAUAAAGGAGACCUCCUCUCUCUAGAGCCAAGCUCCCCCACCCCACCCCCAUCCUGCCAGGGCAGGCUCAGCCGCUCCCUUCCCGUCCGUAGCAGUGGGGGAGGCCGCAUGAGGAGGAGCGGGGUGGGAGCAAAUGGAGGGGAUCUGCUGGCGGGCCUAGUUUAGGCAAACAGCAGGGACUGCUGGCGACGGCUCCAGCCCCCACUCCCGCGGUAACAGCUGCAGUCCAGCUGCUGGCAUCCCUGCUGGGGGAGCGUGCUAAACCUCUCCGGGGUCAGCACUGUGGUAUGUCGGUUUCCAUAGCAACCAGCCAACGGGCCACUUUCUCAGAACAAUUCCCCUACUCAGCCGGGUUCUGGACUUAGCUCAGCCCAAGGGCAUGUGGCUGAGGAGCAGCGCGGGAGGGGGAGAGCUGCCGAGGGCCAGACUGGGCCCCACAGAACGUGGCUAUCUCAGUCCGGUCUUCUCACGGAGGGCGUGGAGCCGAGGAUGAGCCAUGCAGACUCUUCCGGCGCUGGCUCUCCCUGGCCUCUCUCUGUGCCACGCUGCCCCCACCACCCGUCCACAGACUGCCCAGCUCGGCCCGGUUGGAAGAAGUGUCAGGUCUUUGUCUGAAUCUGGAGAACAGCUGCCUUGGCUGGGUUCAGAGCUGGGAGGACAAAGUCCUGGAAUGGCGUGGACGGCCUGACUCCAGCAGGUAUCUGGAAGUAAAAACAACAAACAACCCCAAACAUCUCCCAGCGCCAGACUGAUAGCUCAGAUUUCUACCACAGACAUCAGUUCCGUGGUGGUAUUCUGCCCGUCCCUGUGAGAUCUGGGCUCGGACAAGCACUUUAAACCCACAAGUUGGCUGCACCAUCUCUGAGAAUUCCGUGACCCUCUCUGGGGUGGGGGCUGAGGAGGCCAGGAAAUGGCUUUGGUCCCAUGAGUCAUUCUGGCUCCAGCAGCCCGACAGCAAUGGCUUCUUACAGGGGAGUUGGGGGAGAUGCCCAUGGCGGGAGGAUGCCGUGGGGGUGGGGUGGAGGGCAGGGGGGCUGCUGUUCUCAUGCCCCUUUUUACCUAGAUGCUGCCAAAGGUGGUCCCUGGAACAGUGACCACAAAGCGUCUCAUGGGAGGAAGAAGGAUGAAAGAGAUGGGAAUUCUUGUAAAUUUUUAAUCUGAAAAAUAAAGAAAGUGUGAAUUAGAAUUAAUGCAGAUAUUAAAUAUUUAAACUUUCUGUACUCACUUUCAUUUUUAACAUAUUCCUUCCUCAAAAACCUCGAUAACGCUUGUCAGAUUUGUUCUCAAGAUGUCCCCCUCUCUCCACCACCCCCUAGGCCCAGCCCCAAAGUGAGACCGCAGGUAUUCAUCAUCCUGAUGGAAAUGCUCAUUUUUUUUCUCCUACAGGAACCGUCUGAUCUCUCUCUUUAUAUUUAUGCUUUCUCUCUAUGGCAGUGUAAAUAAUUAAUGCUGUUACAAACACAUCCUAUGCAAAAUAUAUAUUAGAAAAAAUAACUCUUUAAUUUGGCAUGUCAUUUAAUUCCAUUUUGUAAUCAUAGCACAGGGGCUACAAUUAAUGCCGGGGCUGGGGAAUCCAGCCUGACUGCUGACACUGGCAGAGGCAUGACCAAGUCUCCUAGACUGAGGCCCUCUUGGACUCUCAGCUGUUUCUUCUUUGUGUGCUUUUGGUUGAUGGAUGGAGAUGGUACCCACUGUCCAGGGCGAGGCUGAGAGUGAGUCUGGAAAUGAAACAGGAAACUCACCUCUAUCUUCAAUAGAAUGGGGCAAGGGUGGUCCAGGUCUCUUCAAGUGCACUUGGUAGCAUUCGUCCAAAAGGAUGCUGGGACAUUUAGAUGUAGGACAUUUGGUACAUCUUCAUGGGGUGGGGGGCGGUUGUCCUUGGACUUUUGGGGAGUUCUCACAAGGACUGGCUUGGGGCACAGUAGGAAAGAGUUUCCUGGAAGUUGGGUUUUAUGCAUGCAUUAAUUUAACAAAUAUUUACUGAGUGCUUCAUAUGUGCCAGGUGUUGUUGUGGGCACUGGAGAUACAACAGUGACUAAGGCAAGAAAUGAAGAUGAAAUAUCCAGUUUCUGAAUAUUCCACCAUCGCCUCUGCUCAUUCCUUUUUCCAUUCAGUGGUCUUUCUGGCUAUCUUAAGGAAUCCAUCUAUCAGAGCCAUUGCCCCCUCAGGUUUUAAGAACUCUUGGCUAGUAUUUGAAUAACUCAGUGUUCCUGGAUUUACCAAUUCCUGUGAGUUUAGCACAACCUCGCAGAUAAGAUUGCAACUAC